GAAAAGGCUCUUUUCAGAGCCACCCACUCUGUCAACAAAAGGUGUU
rfam:Loxodonta africana unplaced genomic scaffold scaffold_44, whole genome shotgun sequence.